rnacentral:lncRNA from 1 species
GUUAGCCAACUCUAUUAUUUUGCCUAGUCGAAUAAUUUCUAAAUUGGUUAACGAUAGAAAAUAGUUAGGCAUAAGGCGGUGAACUAUAUUCAGUACUUUUUUUGUGGCCAACAGCAGAGAAACUCUACAAAGCCUUAAAUUAAAAUUACUUCCAUUGACUGCACCGAGUGCAGCCAUCCGAAAUCGACACAAGAGAAGCUACGAAAGAGGAAUUACUGUCAGUGCACACACCUGAAUUAAGAGCUUCAACCCAAGAAGAACGAAGGAACAAGUCUGCCAUUGGCCACCAUUUGAGUAGCACAUGGCUAAGAAACUGAAUUUUGGUUAUCAUUGCUGCAUUUAAAAGAAAAAAUGCUAGAGCGAUUAAUAUCACGUCAACCAUUUGGACUAUUAUGUGGAAAAAGUUUAUAUGAAUCAACGUUAUUGGAUAGCAUUAAGGGCCCUGUUGAGAUGAGAAACGUUUCUUGGAAACUCGAAAUAAUAAACCAACCUGGUUUCCCAAUGGCAACCCAUGUUUACUACAUUACAAAAUAUUGACUGAUCUCCCACCACCUACGUGCUUUCAAUGACAUGGGCACUUAAAGGAGUUGGUACUUGUACAUAAGCUAGCAGAAAAAAUUUGAAAGAAAAUUUUCAAAGGAAUUUAAUGUGAUGAACUAAACAAACUGCACUUCAUCUCAUCGAAGUCAAAUGGAGGUCAGAGAAUGUGGGGAAUGAGUAUUGAUUACUGUCAUAUUUCUUUCCAACAUCUACUUUGUUAACUCUGGAGUACAUUUGAUCACUUCUGUAAUCCCCAACAUAAAGUCUAGUUCAGUAUAGAAAGGUAGUGAUCAGAGAGUAAACAGGGUAUGUGUUGAUGCAAUCACAGCACAAACAUGCCAUGGGGAUUGGUCAGUUUGUGACCCAGAUGCUAGUAUUUCUUCUAGCCAUCCUUUUCUGUUUAAUUUUAUCCAUCAAGAGGCUGGAGGACUACAGUAUUAAAGAAUUUUUCCUACCCCUGUGGCCUGUGGUAAAUUACCUGCAACAAUGUUGAAAAUGACAUUAUCAUACAACUUCGAAGUCUAGCAUCAUCAGUUGAUUCGUAGGUUGAAAUUCCGCGAAGGCUUUACACGUAUUCUAUAUUUUAAGUACUGACAGGUGACAUGUAAAGUUGAAUUUAUGCGUGGUGAUAACAUUAACUUAUGGAGAUUCGCUGGCAAAAAGUUGGGCAUCACCUCCGAUGUUCGAAGGUCCGAAAAGUGAUUCGCCUACUGCCACAUCAAGAUGAUUUUUCGUCGUGUCUAAGAUGUCGCUAGUUAUAUCCCUUGCUUCAAGCAUCAUUUGUUGAAAAAACCGUAUUGAUCCGAAGAUAACGAAGCAGACCUUAGAAAACGAAUUUAAUCUCUCGCACUUUUUGCUUUUUAUACCAGUAGCCGUGCGGCAAAUAAGCACAUACCAAAUGUGAUUGUAUUGCACGGUUUCUGGAGACAACUUACGUCAGCAACCUGUUAAGGAUAAAACAAAGGAAAACAUGGGAGUGUCGAAUUCUAGAUCUGCUGGAAAUCGCGUACCCAAAGAAAUUAAGUGUCGAAAACCCCCAUAUCCUUGCACUGUCGUCAAAUAUCUUUACAAAGGGAAAUAUUGAAAUACGAAAUGUUCAACCAUUCUAGCCGUGAAGAUCCCUUCAACGGAAUCCAUUUUUAAAACUUUCUGCUACCAUAGUAUUUUUGUUCCUCUUCCUGUGAAGGACCAACCAAACAUGAUGUUACUCUUGUGAUGGAUCUGGAUUAUUGGUAAGUUCUGCUUAUAUUUGCACCAAUCUUUACAAUACCUCUUUACUAAGGGAAAUAUUGAAAAAUUUAGUGAUUAGCCAUUUAAGUUUUGAAGAUUCCUUCAUUGUAAACAAAUUUAAUAAAUCUGGUAUAUUUCGUUGAAACCUUAAAGAAAUACUUCAUCUUAUCUUAUUUCUCUUAGAAUCUUUUCAUUGCUAGACUUAUUUCCUCUUAUCAUUAAGGAAUAACCCAACUUAAUGUUGCCUUGUGAUGGAUUUGGUUAUUGGUCGGAAAAUGGGAAGUGUCACCAACUAUCUGAUCGCUUUCAUCUUCGGUACGGAGCUUUUUAAAACCCGUGUUGAUUAAUUUUUUGUGGACAAUUUUUCGUCCAAGACUGGUUAACUUGCAUGGUCCCGCGGUUACGCUAAAAACUGGGACACGUCCGUGUCAGUGGCUGAAAGAGAGCGACCCGGACCCAUCCAGUUGGCUUCUAGCCUGUCUGGUAUGAGUUUUCUCGACUUUAUUCGUACGUUUACAGCAAUUGAAUGUGUCCAUCUGAAUAUGGAAGCCAGUCGAUACGAGCCCAUUCUGCAAGGCAGAGCUAAACUAAAAUUGCCUUGAGAAAGUGAAUAAUUGCAUGCAGAAUCGUAUCUUCGUUAAAUUUUUUUUUAGUUUCGUGGAUCAUUCGUGUCUAUUAAGGAUUUCGGCAAAGAGGACUUACUACUGGCCGAUAUCGCAACAAUUCUGGUAAGAAUCAACCUUUUAUUUAUUCAUUUUAAAAACACAUCAACACAUGCCAGUUACACGAGAUGGACUAGCAACAUUCUUUUGAUGGAUAAUCGAUUAAAUUUUUGUGGCUAUUGUCAUGGAAAACUACGUCAGCAGUGCAGUGCUGAGUUUGUCUCUAUUUUGCCCGUAAGCAGGAAAAAGGUUGAAACAGUAGUGGAAUUAGAGAAAAUUGACGUAAAACCAGUUUUGAAAAUGUCGAGCACGGAAUAAGUGAACGAUUUUACCAGUUGUUCGUUGUGACCAACAAAUACGAAAGCUAUGUCCCUCGGCUCAAUCUUCCAAUUAAUCUAAAAAAAGCCGACGAUGUUAUGUGACUUAGCAAUCUCUGUAACCGAAGAUGCAGCAAGCUACUUCAUCUUGUGUCCGGAGCAUUGGCAAUAUCCUAAGAAGGGAAUAUUACGAAUUAGUUUCCCUAGCCACAUGUUGAAAUCUGUUGUUUUCUAGUUUGGUCAAUGACACUGAUGUAUGCGGUUAUCCUUAAGUUCGGGAAGUCUUUGAAGAGACUGGAGAAUCCUAUCUUAUUCACAAACAGAAGUCUCAAGCGUAACUGAAUUUGACUGCCAUGACUCAGCAAGCUGGACUUUUACCAGUUAGACUUCAGUCAACUUGUAAUCAGUCCAACAUGAAUUGAUGCAGCAGCAAUACUCCGGACACACUGCUGAAAGACCACACACACGGCAGAAGCCGGCGAGAUCAUUGCAGCCAAUAAAAAUGCCCUUAAAAAACAAUCACAUGUGUACAUAUAUUAUUUCCCUCGUAUUUUGCUGUUUUAUUCGACUGCCAAUUGAUUCUCCGGUGUCACUUGUCCCAUGACUUUGAAGUUGAAAAAAUCAUUUACAACUCGCGUUGGUUGUAAAUUUGGAUAACAGAUGGCGCAGUUGCGCCUUUGUUUUGUGAAAAAACUAAGUGUGACAUGUGAAACCUAUGUUCGAAUAUUUGUGAACUAUGUUACAUUCCAGUGAUAAGUUUGUUAAAAUUAAAUGGUGUGAUUUCAACUUUUGAGAGUUUUUCAGUCUUUCCUGUGUUUUUGAAGUGAUAAACAUCAAGUGGAUUAUUUUGUGUGCAACGAGUAAACUUGUGAUCAGCUAUGCCAGAUCCAAACCAUUACUUUUACAUUCCCAUCAUGCUAUUCUAUUGCACGUUAAAGAAGUAGUUGGUGAAACCUAAAUAGAAAAAGAUACUAACCGUGAGGAAAGGUUAGAAAUGACACAAACCAUAUGAGUUGGAAUACCACCAUAACGUCAUUCUGCCACUCUUUACUCAUUCAUCAUGUCCUGUCAAUUUUGAUCUGAAAAGUGCACCAUAUAUUGUGUUGCAAAUCAAUAACCAUAACAAUUUCAACAAUCUUCUCGUCAUUUCUACUUAGCCUAUCAAGUGGCAGGAUUUUGAGUUGCAGAGUGUGCUCAUGUAUCUAAAAUGAAAAGAAUGCUGACAUCGAAGGAAGAUCAUCAACAAUGCAAAAUCAAUGGAUUGGAAUACCUCAUGCCAUUCUAUACUCUUUGCCCACUCAUCAUCUCAUCCAACACAUGUCUUCGCCUCGCCUGUCGCCCAGUCUUGGCUUCGCCCGUCGCCCAGUCUUGGCUUGACCCAUCGCCCCAUCUUCGCUUUGCCCGUCGCCCGGUCUUCGCUUCGCCCGUCACCCCGUCUUCACUCCGCCCGUCGCCUCGUCUUCACUUCGCCCCGUCAUCACCUCGUCUUAGUGGUAUCAUUGUAUUUUGUAACGUGUAAUUGUGUAGUGUUAAUUAACCCGUUGGCUGCCACCCACUUUGAUCCCCCCUUUUUUUUAAAGCUUGUUAGGGUCCGGCAGCGCUGUUCUACCCAAUGGUCUAUAUGCCAUGGGUGGGACAGUUGCACAAGCCGUGUGGCUCAAAGUCGAUCGUCGAGGCAAUGCACCAUUAGGGAAUUCCCCCUUGUCGAUGUGGUGGUGGUUUCCUGGGGUGUGCAUUCCCAUAACGGCUUCCACCAUCAUGUCAGCCCGGACUUGUCUUCGGACAAGUCCCCCUUUGUCGUAAUCCUUUUGAUCACGAUGUAGCUAGAGUAGAUAUGUAGUGGCGUGGCAGCCAACGGGUUAGUUUUAUGUAUGUAUGUAUUUUUUGUAUUGUAUUGUAUUAUGAAAUGUAAAUAUUAGUGGUGGA